rnacentral:rRNA from 1 species
UACGUAGGGGGCAAGCGUUGUCCGGAUUUAUUGGGCGUAAAGAGCUCGUAGGUGGUUUGGUAAGUCGGAUGUGAAAUCUCCAGGCUCAACCUGGAGGGGUCAUUCGAUACUGCCAUGACUAGAGGUCGGUAGGGGAGUGUGGAAUUCCUGGUGGAGCGGUGAAAUGCGCAGAUAUCAGGAGGAACACCGGUGGCGAAGGCGGUUCUCUGGACCUUACCUGACGCUGAGGAGCGAAAGCGUGGGGAGCGAACAGG